GUCUUUCAUAACCUUUGAGAUUUUCCACAGUUCUUUCCAAACCCUAUUCACUUUUACGCCUUCAUACGUUCCUGAUCCAUCCAUCAUUUAUUCAUGCCUAAUCAUCUUCGCAAGAUCUUAUAAUCUACUCCGUCGCCGUCCAAAAAGUUCAUGAUUCUCGAUUUUUAGUCAAGAUACCAUAGAGUGAUCAAAAUCUUGUGAUGGCUUCAAAGAGGAUAUCACGAGGAGUUUGUGGCAGCGUGGGGUCCGGGAAAUCGAGCUUUAUUUCUUGUAUUCUUCGUGAAAUCCUGAAAAUAUCCGGUGAAGUUCGAAUUUGAGUCAUGAUCUACAUCAAGAUUUAAGACCCCUGUUAAUCGUCUCUAUAAAUAUACGUACAGCUUCAACUCGUUCCAAACCAUUCACCAGCCUUACGCUCUCACCAUUGUUUUUAACCUCUGAAACCAACCUUCUUCUCGGCAACCUGCGACGACAUCACUACCAAGUUUGAAACGCACGCGAACCGUUGUACCAGGCUGAAGGUUUUUUUACAAUUAAUGCAGACAAUAACCAGGAAGAACAUCCGAGAAACCAGUUGAACAGUGGAGUGGUUCCAGAUAGUAUUGAUGUACACUGUUUGGCUGGUCUUAUCAAGGUGUAUGAUGAUUGUUGUAUUAAUAUUUCAUUUAGUUUUUUAAUUUUAUGAUUAAGUUGAUGAUAAUAUAGCCAUGGUUUAGAGAACGGCCAACUGCUAAGUGGGAUCUUGGAUUCGCUUUCACCUAGCAAGUAAUGCAGUGUCAACCAGAGGAUGGCCGCAUUGUCCUUUGCCGUCUUCAGUCGCCAAAGGAAACCGCCCUGCUCGAUUGGGCCAUCAAUCUGAUUGCUGAUGC
rnacentral:lncRNA from 1 species